AUGGUACAUUCUGCAACUGCUAUGUUCCAGAUUUUCUCGCUGAAAUUGGAAAAAGCUAGUACCAGCAUCGGCUUGGUACAACUAUAUGGAUAUAUAGCAGUGCGUGAUCGUUAUGAUUCAUUGCUUAAUUAUAUUUUCAAUCGUAGCAGAGAUGAUCCCAUCAUUGUGGAACAGGGUUCUCUUAUUGAGAUGACUGACCCUAAGAGAGGCAUCACAAUGGUAGCCCCUGCUCUAGUUGAGUUUGACAUGAGGAUCAAGAAAGGAAAGCAAGAAGAUGAUCUACAACUAAUUGAUGGUGCAAUGGAGUACCAUGAUCUAGUCACACCUGAGUAUCCAUUCACGCAUCAGAUUAAUGGCGAUUGUGGUGCGGUUGACAUCACUUUAGCCCUCGUUCGUUGGGCAUUUGAGGCCACAAUAGAUGUUGUCAUAUCGAAAGUGCAGUGUGGAUUUGAUUUAUCUCUCAGUUCGUGUGUUUUCCUUAUGAAUGGUUUACAUGGGAUUCAACUCUUUCGUGGCAGUGUUGUUGAGUCAUGUGGUUUAAGAAGAUAUGUGAUUGCUGUAAAGAAGGAUACUUUGAUGUAUUUGAAGUUCAAGCUAGGCCGGAAUAGUUGUAAAAAUGAUCUUGAUCACCAUUGUUCCUUCAAAGCAAAAAAGCAUGGGCACGACUAUCAGCAAAUCAUGCUUGAGCUUGCCUCUAUCUCAGUGAAGGUGACUUGGUCGAACUUGCAAAGGAAUAGAAGAUGGCAUGUGGAUGGGGGUGAUCUGCAGGCGACACGCGCACAGGAGAUACGUAUAGAAGGGCCUUGUGUCGUCGCACGAGUCGCGUGUUGUAUU
rnacentral:rRNA from 1 species